rnacentral:rRNA from 1 species
GAUGAACGCUGGCGGCGUGCCUAAUACAUGCAAGUAGAACGCUGAAGGAGGAGCUUGCUUCUCUUGAUGUGUUGCGCACGGGUGAGUAACGCGUAGGUAACCUGUCUGGUAGCGGGGGAUAACUAUUGGAAACGACAGCUCUUAUCGCAUAAUAGUAGAUGUUGCAUGACAUUUACUUAUAAGGUGCAAUUUCAUCACUACCAGAUGGUCCUGCGUUGUAUUAGCUAGUUGGUGAGGUAACGGCUCACCAAGGAAACGAUACAUAGCCGACCUCAGAGGGGGAUCGGCCACACUGGGACUGAGACACGGCCCAGACUCCUACGGGAGGCAGCAGUAGGGAAUCUUCGGCAAUGGACGGAAGUCUGACCGAGCAACGCCGCGUGAGUGAAGAAGGUUUUCGGAUCGUAAAGCUCUGUUGAAAGAGAAGGACGAGUGGGGGAGUGGAAAGUUCACACUGUGACGGUAUCUUACCAGAAAGGGACGGCUAACUACGUG